rnacentral:rRNA from 1 species
AACGAACGCUGGCGGCAGGCCUAACACAUGCAAGUCGAGCGAAGCCUUCGGGCUUAGCGGCGGACGGGUGAGUAACGCGUGGGAACGUGCCCUUUGGUACGGAAUAGCCCCGGGAAACUGGGAGUAAUACCGUAUGUGGUCGAGAGACGAAAGAUUUAUCGCCAAAGGAUCGGCCCGCGUUGGAUUAGGUAGUUGGUGGGGUAAUGGCCUACCAAGCCGACGGUCCAUAGCUGGUUUGAGAGGAUGAUCAGCCACACUGGGACUGAGACACGGCCCAGACUCCUACGGGAGGCAGCAGUGGGGAAUCUUAGACAAUGGGGGAAACCCUGAUCUAGCCAUGCCGCGUGAUCGAUGAAGGCCUUAGGGUUGUAAAGAUCUUUCAGUGGGGAAGAUAAUGACUGUACCCACAGAAGAAGCCCCGGCUAACUCCGUGCCAGCCGCCGCUGUAAUAC